CCUACGGGUGGCAGCAGUGAGGAAUAUUGGUCAAUGGCCGAGAGGCUGAACCAGCCAAGUCGCGUGAAGGAAGAUGGCUUUCGGGUUGUAAACUUCUUUUCUCAGGGACGAAGAAAGUGACGGUACCUGAGGACUAAGCCACGGCUCACUUCGUGCCAGCAGCCGCGGGAAUACGUAGGUGGCAAGCGUUAUCCGGAGUUAUUGGGUGUAAAGGGCGUGUAGGCGGGAGCGCAAGUCAGAUGUGAAAACUCAGGGCUCAACGCUGAGCCUGCAUUUGAAACUGUGUUUCUUGAGUGCUGGAGAGGCAAGCGGAAUUCCGUGUGUAGCGGUGAAAUGCGUAGAUAUACGGAGGAACACCAGUGGCGAAGGCGGAUUGCUGGACAGUAACUGACGCUGAGGCGCGAAAGCGUGGGGAGCAAACAGGAUUAGAUACCCCUGUAGUC
rnacentral:rRNA from 1 species